rnacentral:rRNA from 1 species
CGGGGGGACUCCAAGUGCCAUUCUUAACGGGAUGGCUUUUCUUUAGUGUAAAAAGCUUUUGGAAUAAGAGCUGGGCAAGACCGGUGCCAGCCGCCGCGGUAACACCGGCAGCUCUAGUGGUGRCCAUUUUUAUUGGGCCUAAAGCGUUCGUAGCCGGUUUAAUAAGUCUUUGGUGAAAUC